rnacentral:rRNA from 1 species
AUUGAACGCUGGCGGCAUGCCUUACACAUGCAAGUCGAACGGUAACAGGUCUUCGGAUGCUGACGAGUGGCGAACGGGUGAGUAAUACAUCGGAACGUGCCUAGUAGUGGGGGAUAACUACUCGAAAGAGUGGCUAAUACCGCAUGAGAUCUACGGAUGAAAGCAGGGGAUCGCAAGACCUUGUGCUACUAGAGCGGCCGAUGGCAGAUUAGGUAGUUGGUGGGAUAAAAGCUUACCAAGCCGACGAUCUGUAGCUGGUCUGAGAGGACGAUCAGCCACACUGGGACUGAGACACGGCCCAGACUCCUACGGUGGGCAGCAGUGGGGAAUUUUGGACAAUGGGCGCAAGCCUGAUCCAGCAAUGCGGCGUGCAGGAUGAAGGCCUUCGGGUUGUAAACUGCUUUUGUACGGAACGAAAAGCCCUGGGUUAAUACCCUGGGGUCAUGACGGUACCGUAAGAAUAAGCACCGGCUAACUACGUGCCAGCCGCCGCCGUAACAC